AUUGAACGCUGGCGGCAUGCUUUACACAUGCAAGUCGAACGGCAGCGCGGGGCAACCUGGCGGCGAGUGGCGAACGGGUGAGUAAUACAUCGGAACGUACCCAGAAGUGGGGGAUAACGUAGCGAAAGUUACGCUAAUACCGCAUACGUUCUACGGAAGAAAGUGGGGGACCUUCGGGCCUCAUGCUUUUGGAGCGGCCGAUGUCUGAUUAGCUAGUUUGUAGGGUAAAGGCCUACCAAGGCGACGAUCAGUAGCUGGUCUGAGAGGACGACCAGCCAAACUGGGACUGAGACACGACCGAGACUCCUGCGGGAGGCAGCAGUGGGGAAUUUUGGACAAUGGGCGCAAGCCUGAUCCAGCAAUGCGGCGUGAGUGAAGAAGGCCUUCGGGUUGUAAAGCUCUUUUGUAAGGGAAGAAACGGCUGAGGUUAAUACCUUUGGCUAAUGACGGUACCUGAAGAAUAAGCACCGGCUAACUACGUGCCAGCCGCCGCCGUAACAC
rnacentral:rRNA from 1 species